AUGCAGUCGAGCGCGACGGUACCUUCGGGUGCCUAUUAGAGCGGCGCACGGGUGAGUAACACGUGAGUAAUCUGCCCUAGAGCUUGGGAUAACAGCUGGAAACGGCUGCUAAUACCGGAUAAGCCCCCGCGACCUUGGUCGAGUGGGGAAAAGAGGGGGACCUUCGGGCCUCUCACUCUAGGAUGAGCUCGCGGCCCAUUAGGUAGUUGGUGGGGUAAUGGCCUACCAAGCCUGCGAUGGGUAGCUGGUCUGAGAGGACGAUCAGCCACACUGGAACUGAGACACGGUCCAGACUCCUACGGGAGGCAGCAGUGGGAGUAUUGCGCAAUGGGCGAAAGCCUGACGCAGCCAUGCCGCGUGAGUGAGGAAGGCCUUCGGGUUGUAAAGCUCUGUCCAGAGGGACGAAUGGCCCACAACUUAAUACGUUGUGGGAUUGACGGUACCUCUGAAGAAAGCACCGGCUAACUCCGUGCCAGCAGCCGCGGUAAUAC
rnacentral:rRNA from 1 species